ACUCAAAGGAAUAGACGGGGGCCCGCACAAGCAGCGGAGCGUGUGGUUUAAUUCGAUGCAACGCGAAGAACCUUACCAGGGCUUGACAUGCACUCAAAGCUUGGGGAAACUCAAGGUGCCCGCAAGGGCGGGGUGCACAGGUGCUGCAUGGCUGUCGUCAGCUCGUGCCGUGAGGUGUUGGGUUAAGUCCCGCAACGAGCGCAACCCCCGCGACUAGUUGGAUAGUCUAGUCGGACUGCCGGGACCAACCCGGAGGAAGGUGGGGAUGAUGUCAAGUCAGCACGGCCCUUACGCCCUGGGCUACACACACGCUACAAUGGACGGGACAACGGGCAUAGCCAAGCCGCAAGGCGGAGCGAAUCCUAUCAAACCCGUCCUCAGUUCAGAUCGGGGGCUGCAACUCGCCCCCGUGAAGGCGGAGUUGCUAGUAACCGCGGGUCAGCACACCGCGGUGAAUACGUUCCCGGGCCUUGCACACACCGCCCGU
rnacentral:rRNA from 1 species